CAGACCGAUGUCACCCAGGUUGCCGAGUUUGGCUGGCUCAAGUAUGUGCAUGUCACGGUGGACACGUUCUCCUCUGCGAUGUGGGCUUCUGCUCACACAGGAGAGAAAGCCCGUGAUGUCAUUGCCCACUGGAGGCAGGCCUUUGCUGUUCUUGGCAUACCUUCUGCUGUGAAAACCGACAAUGGUCCUGCUUAUGCCUCACAGCAGGAACGGCAGUUCCUACAGUUGUGGGGUGUGUCACAUAACUUUGGCAUCCCUCAUUCUCCGACGGGACAGGCGAUUGUAGAACGCAAUCACGGUACACUCAAGCGUGUUCUUCAAAAGCAGAAAUGGGGAAUGCAGGGUGAAACCCCGCACAGUCGGUUGGCAAAGGCUUUGUACACCAUCAAUCACCUUACGGUGCCGCAGAACUCAAAUAAUCCUGUCAUUUUGAACCAUCAUCUCUCGUUGCAGGCUUCGGACGGUGAGCAACAGCCUCGAGCGAAGGUAUGGGUCCGAAAUUUAGUCACCAAGCAAUGGGAAGGACCCUAUGACCUAAUCGCUAUGGGGCGAGGGUAUGCGUGUGUGUCCACGGACACUGGGACACGCUGGGACACGCUGGCUACCUUCAAAGUGUGUCCGUCCUGACCUGCGACCACAGAGGCAGAAUUCAGCUGACAGGUUCAACUCCUGACAGCCACCAAAGGGGCCCCAGAGCUGCGGCGGCCCAAGUUCCUCUCGCCUUUGCUGCGUGACUUCCUGAGCUGCUGCCUGCAGAGAGACGAGGCGCGGCGCUGCUCUGCCAAGGAGCUGCUGCAGCAUCCAUUUGUAACAUCGGCCAAGCCUGUGUCCAGCCUGGUGCCACUCAUCAUUUCAGUGAAUAAGUAGAAGGAGGUGUUGCUAGAGGACAUGAAGAGAAAUGAUACUCACACUUAAGACAUCCAGAAGAGAAGAAGAAACUUUAUUUUAAUUACCUUGCUUAUAUAGAUUCUGGACAAUGUCCAGGGAUUGGAGAACAAAGUUACCACCUCUCCAUCCCACUGCCCAGGCUAGAAGUCAAUCAGUUGUCCCUCAUCAGAAAGGAAUUCAAAAAACAACUCUUUGUUUAUGUUACAAGCCUGAGAAGACUCCACUACCGGAAUGUAAACAUCAGAAGGCUAACAGAAUAUGGCAACAAGGAGGAGACAAGAAUGUGACAAUCACUUUAGAACUGUUCUCCAUCACCAGCUUAGAGUAGGAUUGUAGUGUACAAUUGCAGCAAGGAUUGUAGUGUAGGAUUGUAGCAAAGAAUUGUAGCCUAGGAUUGUAGCCUAGUGUCUUGGUUUUGAAAAGACAGGUGUCUGCUAUGGAGAGGCAGGCCUCUCUAGGAAAUGAGGAAUUUGAAUCCUUCCCUCCAUGUUAUUAUAAUUUGUAAAAUAAAACUUUUCAGUCAGAGCUAUGGGGAAAAGGAAUAACAGAACAGACAAAAAAAACAACAGCAAUUAUAACAAUAGUAGAACAGAACCAAGAACCCCGAGGGCAAACGGUGGAAGCUCCGGCGCUGAUGGCUGGAAGCCGGGCGCGGUGGACUGUCCUCCGCAGGCAGGGGGUGUCCUCGGCAGGCAGAGGUGGCAGUGCCGGAGAAGCCGCAGCCGCGAGACCCGGUCUCACCCAAAAUCCAGCAGGACAGCGAAGAAACUCCGAAUUCCUGGGUACUCCAACAGAUGGUAGAAUUCCCAGGACCAGACUCCUUCGUUAACUGUGGACUCCAGCAGCCAGCCGUGGCCCGAUCAGUGCUCCCCCCAGAAGAAAAGAGCCGUGAGAUCCCCCCACCCUCAGCUCUCUCCGGGAGCUUUUCUCCCUCCCCCAAAACUAAGUUAUCAGUUCUUUUGUCCAGGUUAAGUACUCAGCAUUUAGUCUCCUAGCAACUUGGGGGGGGGGCGGAAAUUCUACAGGAGACUUAAACCCCAACAUUAUCCACCCCGAAUUUUUUCCCACACCAACAUAUUAUGUUGAAUUUAAACCUUUAAAUGAUAUACAUAUAUAUACAUGUGAAUAUAAAUACAGACACAGUCACAGUGGUCACCCUAAAACAAGGUCCCCUUGAGGUAUGCAGCGGGUCUCACCAUCCUUUUGCAUCACCCACCAUGUGCAGCCAGGUCCCUGAACAAAAACAACUCCAGGAGCGGGAUUGUCUUUGCUGGAGGCAGAAUUAAUCCAAACAGUUUUUCCCAGCAUUCCUCUCAUGUGUACCACUGGAACCUUAUCUCCAUCUCUUGUUCCCAGGGGCUCAGAUUGGGCGGGGCCUGCUCGGUUGGUAGAACCUCGAGUGUUCACUAACCAGGUGGCCUUUGCUAAAUUAUUCUCCCAGUUCUUGAAAGUCCCCCCAGCCAGUGCCUUCAAAGUGGUUUUAAGCAGGCCAUUGCAUCGUUCAACCUUCCCGGCUGCUGGCACAUGAUAAGGAAUAUGGUACAGCCACUCAAUGCCAUGUUCUCUAGCCCAGGUGUUUAUAAGGCUGUUCUUGAAAUGAGUCCCGUUGUCAGACUCAAUCCUCUCAGGGGUACCAUGUCUCCACAGGAUUUGCUUUUCAAGGCCCAGGAUGGUGUUCCGGGCAGUAGCAUGGGGCACAGGGUAGGACUCCAGCCAUCCAGUGGUGGCUUCCACCAUGGUCAGCACAUAGCGCUUGCCUUGGCGGGUUUGGGGAAGGGUGAUGUAGUCAAUCUGCCAGGCUUCCCCGUACUUAUACUUGGACCAUCGCCCGCCAUACCACAGGGGCUUCACCCGCUUGGCCUGCUUGAUGGCAGCACACGUCUCACAGUCAUGGAUAACCUGAGAAAUACUGUCCAUGGUUAGAUCCACCCCUCGGUCUUGUGCCCACUUAUAGGUGGCAUCUCUACCCUGAUGGCCUGAAGCAUCAUGGGCCCAUCGAGCUAGGAACAACUCUCCCUUGUGUUGCCAAUCUAAGUCUAUCUUUGACACCUCUAUCUUUGCAGCUUGAUCUACCUGCUCUUUGUUUUGGUGCUCCUCAUUAGCCCGACUCUUGGGGACAUGGGCAUCUACAUGGCGGACUUUGACAGGUAGCUUCUCUACCCGAGUGGCAAUGUCCUUCCACUCAUCUGCAGCCCAGAUUGGCUUUCUCCUACGCUGCCAACUGGCCUUUUUCCACUUCUCCAGCCAACCCUACAGAGCAUUGGCCACUAUCCACGAAUCAGUGUAGAGGUAGAGCUUUGGCCACUUCUUUCUUUCAGCAAUGUCCAGGGCCAGUUGAACAUCUUUGAGUUCAGCAAGUUGGCUUGACCCACCUUCUCCUUCAGUGGCUUGUGCUACCUGUCGUGUGGGGCUCCAUACAGCAGCUUUCCACUUCCGGUUCAUCCCUACGAUGCGGCAGGAACCGUCAGUGAAAAGAGCAUAGCGUGUUUCUUCUGCUGGCAGUUGGUUGUAUGGUGGACCCUCUUCGGCACGUGUCACUUGUUCCUGCUCCUCUUCAUCUGUGAGACUAAAGUUCUCACCCUCUGGCCAGUUUGUAAUUAUCUCCAAAAUCCCAGGGCGAUUUGGGUUUCCAAUGCAGGCGCGCUGAGUGAUGAGGGCAAUCCAUUUGCUCCAUGUGGCGUCGGUGGCAUGAUGGGUGGAGGGAACCUUUCCUUUAAACAUCCACCCCAGCACUGGUAGUUGGGGUGCCAACAGGAGUUGUGCCUCUGUGCCAAUCACCUCUGAGGCAGCUUGAACUCCUUCAUAGGCGGCCAAGAUUUCCUUUUCUG